rnacentral:rRNA from 1 species
UUCCAGCUCCAAUAGCGUAUAUUUAAGUUGUUGCAGUUAAAAAGCUCGUAGUUGGAUUUUGGGUGCGGCAGGCCGGUCCGCCGUAAGGUGUGUACUUGGUUGUCUCCCGUCAUCCUUGUGGGAACUGCUCUGGCAUUAAGUUGUCGGGGUUAGGGAACACAUCGUUUACUGUGAAAAAAUUAGAGUGUUUAAAGCAGGCUUAUGCCGUUGAAUACAUUAGCAUGGAAUAAUAAGAUAGGACUUUGGCGUCUAUUUUGUUGGUUUGCACACCAAGGUAAUGAUUAAUAGGGAUAGUUGGGGGUAUUCGUAUUUAAUUGUCAGAGGUGAAAUUCUUGGAUUUAUGAAAGACGAACUUCUGCGAAAGCAUUUACCAAAGAUGUUUUCAUUA